UGGAAGACUAGUGAUUUUGUUGUUUUUAGAUAACUAAAUCGACAACAAAUCGCAGUCUACCAUA
rnacentral:pre_miRNA from 1 species